AAAUGCGAUAAGUAAUGUGAAUUGCAGAAUUCAGUGAAUCAUCGAAUCUUUGAACGCACCUUGCGCUCCUUGGUAUUCCUUGGAGCAUGCCUGUUUGAGUAUCAUGAAAUCUUCAAAGUAAAUCUUUUGUUAACUCAAUUGGUUUCUACUUUGGUAUUGGAGGUCUUUGCAGCUUCACACCUGCUCCUCUUUGUUCAUUAGCUGGAUCUCAGUGUUAUGCUUGGUUCCACUCGGCGUGAUAAGUUAUCUAUCGCUGAGGACACUGUAAAAGGUGGCCGAGGUAAAUGCAGAUGAACCGCUUCUAAUAGUCCAUUGACUUGGACAAUACUUUUAUGAUCUGAUCUCAAAUCAGGUAGGACUACCCGCUGAACUUAAGC
rnacentral:misc_RNA from 1 species